AGAGUUUGAUCUGGCUCAGGACGAACGCUGGCGGCGUGCUUAACACAUGCAAGUCGAGCGGUAAGGCACCUUCGGGUGUACACGAGCGGCGAACGGGUGAGUAACACGUGAGUAAUCUGCCCUUCAGUUCGGGAUAACCACCGGAAACGGUGGCUAAUACCGAAUACGACCAACCUCGGCAUCGGGUGUUGGUGGAAAGUUUUUUCGCUGGAGGAUGUGCUCGCGGCCUAUCAGCUUGUUGGUGAGGUAACGGCUCACCAAGGCUUCGACGGGUAGCCGGCCUGAGAGGGUGACCGGCCACACUGGGACUGAGACACGGCCCAGACUCCUACGGGAGGCAGCAGUGGGGAAUAUUGGACAAUGGGCGAAAGCCUGAUCCAGCAACGCCGCGUGAGGGAUGACGGCCUUCGGGUUGUAAACCUCUUUCAGUAUCGACGAAGCGCCCUGUCGGGUGGUGACGGUAGAUACAGAAGAAGGACCGGCCAACUACGUGCCAGCAGCCGCGGUAAUACGUAGGGUCCGAGCGUUGUCCGGAAUUAUUGGGCGUAAAGGGCUCGUAGGCGGUUUGUCACGUCGGGAGUGAAAACUUACAGCUUAACUGUGAGCGUGCUUCCGAUACGGGCAGACUUGAGGUAUUCAGGGGAGAACGGAAUUCCUGGUGUAGCGGUGAAAUGCGCAGAUAUCAGGAGGAACACCGGUGGCGAAGGCGGUUCUCUGGGAAUAUCCUGACGCUGAGGAGCGAAAGUGUGGGGAGCGAACAGGAUUAGAUACCCUAGUAGUCC
rnacentral:rRNA from 1 species